AAGGAAAACUUGAAUCAGUUUCUUAAUUAAAUAAAAUAAGGAGCAGCUGCCACUCUUAAAUGUCAUAAAGGAAAAAUUUCUUUCUUCUCCAUGUAGGAAGUCUCUUAAGUACUC